GGCUCUUGAAUUUAAUAUAUAAUGUUUACAACUAUCAGAUCAGCUUAAAGAAAUAGAAAACGCCCACUAAAGUUCUCUCUCCUAUAUGUUAACCAAACCAGAAACUGCUAAAUUCACAUUUUAAAUGAAGAACAGCUCAGAUAAGGCGUAAUAUUAGCUUACCUCUCUACAUGAUCUUAGCUCCUCAAACUCUCUGGUGGUCCAGUGUCUGUCUUUGAAGAAAUUAGUGCUAUUUCUUUUGUAAAAAAGAUCCCAAUUUUUCUGAGCCUCUUGUUCCAAUUUCUGCUGUUUAAAAUCAGACACCAAAGUUUGGUCUCUUUUCAGUGUCUCCUCUUCUUCAGAGGUGAGAAUCCUUGCCUGCAGCCCUAUCCUUUGCAAAGAAGCCAUCUCUGAAACUGACGGUAACACUUAACACAGCUGAAGAUUCUCCAUCACCAAAUAAUAUGAAUCCACGCUAAUGGAUCAGAUACAUUUCCUGAGGUGAGUUUCACACCUCAAACAGCACAGGGGGCUUCGCAGAGAAAAGAAUUAGAUUCUGGUUAGUGGUUACAGUUCAAGACGCCACGUUCAAUUCACCAAAUGUUUAUGAGAUGCAGACUGUACAAAAAAAAAUCCUUCCCGCUAUAUGAGAGGUCACAAAGAAGACAAACACACAGUCCCUACCUUCAGUGGGCUUACAUUCAUUUCAGUGGCCAGACUAUCUCAUGCACCAUACUUUUAUUCAAACCAGAUGAGUCAACUAUUACAAUAAAUCGAUUUAGUUUAGGAAAAAGGACGCUCUCAAGAACUGACUGGGAAACCUUGCGAAGAAAAUAUUCCUCAAUUUUCGGUGCCCGCGAAAGGGGUGACUUAAAAACCACAAUGGCCUUAGCUGGAAGCGGGCGGUCAAUUGUCAGAUACAAGUGAGGUCACCGUUUCCCAAGGGUCGGACCUCCGUUUUUUCGGGGGAAAUGAAGCUAAGCCUGGGUGGGCUCAUUUCCUGAUCGCACUCACAAAAGGCUGUCAUAGGAACCAGAGGGAGCGUCACUUUGCAGGGACUGAGACCCUCGCACCGCCAUCACCGGGCAAAGUGGAGAAAGAGACCCAAUGACGCGUGGCUGAGGUCCCGAGGAUCCAUCUCAGGACCCUCAUGAUAGACUAGGCUGCAUGGGACCCUAGACCCUGAGGAGGGCGUCCAUGAUGGCUAGCCGACCCGCGUUAAUCUAGUCAGCCACGCUCAGGGCUCACCGUCAUCAGUUCCUAAAUUCACCUGUAGGGCUAGGGCCAGGCGCACUCACCCCACAGCCAGCCCCACUGGGCCUCGGAGGCAGAAUAUGGGAGGAACCGCGAAACAACUCUAAACCAAUUCUGAGGACCACGAAUUCAGAUUCUCCGGGAGGAAUUCUUUUGCCAUGGCACCGCCCCCACCACUUCCGCUAGGAACCCGGAAGUUCCUACCCGACGCCGGAAGUCCCACGGCCUUGCCUCCUCAGAUUCCUCUCCCACCCCCACGCAGAGGAGAGAACUUGCUUCUGGACCCGGGUGGGUGCCGGCUCGGCUCUCCUUGUCUUCCAGAGCGGUGGCCCGGAAGCACAGUCCUCCCAGACGUCAGCGUCAGAAGCUCGGAUCGCGGCUGCACCGGGAGAGCGCCGAUCUGGGUGCGAGG
rnacentral:lncRNA from 1 species